UACAGGGGGUGCAAACGUUGCUCGGAAUUAUUGGGCGUAAAGCGCGCGUAGGCGGCCACUUAAGUCGGAUGUGAAAGCCCCUGGCUCAACUGGGGAAGUGCACCCGAAACUGAAUGGCUUGAGUGCGAAAGAGGGUCGCGGAAUUCCCGGUGUAGAGGUGAAAUUCGUAGAUACUGGGAGGAACACCGGUGGCGAAGGCGGCUACCUGGACCGGUUCUGACGCUGAUGCGCGAAAGCGUGGGUAGCAAACAGG
rnacentral:rRNA from 1 species